rnacentral:rRNA from 1 species
GACGAACGCUGGCGGCGUGCCUAAUACAUGCAAGUUGAGCGCUGAAGGUUGGUACUUGUACCGACUGGAUGAGCAGCGAACGGGUGAGUAACGCGUGGGGAAUCUGCCUUUGAGCGGGGGACAACAUUUGGAAACGAAUGCUAAUACCGCAUAAAGACUUUAAACACAAGUUUUAAGUUUGAAAGAUGCAAUUGCAUCACUCAAAGAUGAUCCCGCGUUGUAUUAGCUAGUUGGUGAGGUAAAGGCUCACCAAGGCGAUGACACAUAGCCGACCUGAGAGGGUGAUCGGCCACAUUGGGACUUGGUCACGGCCAAAACUCCUACGGGAGGCAGCAGUAGGGAAUCUUCGGCAAUGGACGAAAGUCUGACCGAGCAACGCCGCGUGAGUGAAGAAGGUUUUCGGAUCGUAAAACUCUGUUGGUAGAGAAGAACGUUGGUGAGAGUGGAAAGCUCAUCAAGUGACGGUAACUACCCAGAAAGGGACGGCUAACUACGUGCCAGCCGCCGCGGUAA